rnacentral:rRNA from 1 species
GAUGAACGCUGGCGGCGUGCCUAAUACAUGCAAGUCGAGCGAACGGACGAGAAGCUUGCUUCUCUGAUGUUAGCGGCGGACGGGUGAGUAACACGUGGAUAACCUACCUAUAAGACUGGGAUAACUUCGGGAAACCGGAGCUAAUACCGGAUAAUAUUUUGAACCGCAUGGUUCAAAAGUGAAAGACGGUCUUGCUGUCACUUAUAGAUGGAUCCGGGCUGCAUUAGCUAGUUGGUAAGGUAACGGCUUACCAAGGCAACGAUGCAUAGCCGACCUGAGAGGGUGAUCGGCCACACUGGAACUGAGACACGGUCCAGACUCCUACGGGAGGCAGCAGUAGGGAAUCUUGCGCAAUGGGCGAAAGCCUGACGGAGCAACGCCGCGUGAGUGAUGAAGGUCUUCGGAUCGUAAAACUCUGUUAUUAGGGAAGAACAUAUGUGUAAGUAACUGUGCACAUCUUGACGGUACCUAAUCAGAAAGCCACGGCUAACUACGUG